GACGAACCGUGCGAACGUUGUUCGGAAUCACUGGGCAUAAAGGGCGCGUAGGCGGGCCGUAAAGUCCGAGGUGAAAUCCCCCAGCUCAACUGGGGAACUGCCUCGGAUACUGACGGCCUCGAGUAAGGUAGGGGCAUGCGGAACUGAUGGUGGAGCGGUGAAAUGUGUUGAUAUCAUCAGGAACUCCGGUGGCGAAAGCGGCAUGCUGGACCUUCACUGACGCUGAGGCGCGAAAGCCAGGGGAGCAAACGGGAUUAGAAACCCCCGUAGUCC
rnacentral:rRNA from 1 species